UACGUAGGGACCAAGCGUUGUUCGGAUUUACUGGGCGUAAAGGGCGCGUAGGCGGCGUGGUAAGUCACUUGUGAAAUCUCUGAGCUUAACUCAGAACGGCCAAGUGAUACUGCUGUGCUAGAGUGCAGAAGGGGCAAUCGGGAUUCUUGGUGUAGCGGUGAAAUGCGUAGAUAUCAAGAGGAACACCUGAGGUGAAGACGGGUUGCUGGGCUGACACUGACGCUGAGGCGCGAAAGCCAGGGGAGCAAACGGG
rnacentral:rRNA from 1 species